CGGUCCCAUAUAAAGAAAACAAGUAUGUACAUUAGAAGCUCAAUGUAUACCUGUUUCACACCAUUGUCAACUAGAAAUCAAUUAGUUAUUAUGAUAGGGAAAGAUCAAUCAUGUUCCUUCCCAGCAAUGUUCACACUGAGGGAAGAAACUAUUAUGUUAUAAAAAAACCAUACCUUUCUCUCCAUUCCCUCUAACACUUAUUUCG
rnacentral:lncRNA from 1 species